GUGGGGAAUAUUGGACAAUGGGGGGAACCCUGAUCCAGCCAUGCCGCGUGUGUGAAGAAGGCCUUUUGGUUGUAAAGCACUUUAAGCGAGGAGGAGGCUACUCUAGUUAAUACCUAGGGAUAGUGGACGUUACUCGCAGAAUAAGCACCGGCUAACUCUGUGCCAGCAGCCGCGGUAAUACAGAGGGUGCAAGCGUUAAUCGGAUUUACUGGGCGUAAAGCGCGCGUAGGUGGCCAAUUAAGUCAAAUGUGAAAUCCCCGAGCUUAACUUGGGAAUUGCAUUCGAUACUGGUUGGCUAGAGUAUGGGAGAGGAUGGUAGAAUUCCAGGUGUAGCGGUGAAAUGCGUAGAGAUCUGGAGGAAUACCGAUGGCGAAGGCAGCCAUCUGGCCUAAUACUGACACUGAGGUGCGAAAGCAUGGGGAGCAAACAGGAUUAGAUACCCCGGUAGUCC
rnacentral:rRNA from 1 species